AUGGCUCAUUCAGUAGAGUGCUUGCCUUGCAAGCAUAAGGACCUGAGUUUGAUCCUCAGU
rnacentral:tRNA from 1 species